GAUGAACGCUGGCGGCGUGCUUAACACAUGCAAGUCGAACGGGAAUUAUUUUAUUGAAACUUCGGUCGAUUUAAUUUAAUUCUAGUGGCGGACGGGUGAGUAACGCGUGGGUAACCUGCCUUAUACAGGGGGAUAACAGUCAGAAAUGGCUGCUAAUACCGCAUAAGCGCACAGAGCUGCAUGGCUCAGUGUGAAAAACUCCGGUGGUAUAAGAUGGACCCGCGUUGGAUUAGCUUGUUGGCAGGGUAACGGCCUACCAAGGCGACGAUCCAUAGCCGGCAUGGGAGGGUGAACGGCCACAUUGGGACUGCGACACGGCCCAGACUCCUACGGGAGGCAGCAGUGGGGAAUAUUGCACAAUGGGGGAAACCCUGAUGCAGCGACGCCGCGUGAAGGAAGAAGUAUCUCGGUAUGUAAACUUCUAUCAGCAGGGAAGAUAGUGACGGUACCUGACUAAGAAGCCCCGGCUAACUACGUG
rnacentral:rRNA from 1 species